rnacentral:rRNA from 1 species
UACGUAGGGUGCAAGCGUUGUCCGGAAUUAUUGGGCGUAAAGAGCUCGUAGGCGGUCUGUCGCGUCUGCUGUGAAAACCUAGGGCUUAACUCUGGGCGUGCAGUGGGUACGGGCAGGCUAGAGUGCGGUAGGGGAGACUGGAAUUCCUGGUGUAGCGGUGAAAUGCGCAGAUAUCAGGAGGAACACCGGUGGCGAAGGCGGGUCUCUGGGCCGAUACUGACACUGAGGAGCGAAAGCGUGGGGAGCAAACAGG